rnacentral:rRNA from 1 species
UUAACCGAAUAGGGGAGCCGGAGGGAAACCGAGUCUUAAUUGGGCGUUAAGUUGCAGGGUAUAGACCCGAAACCCGGUGAUCUAGCCAUGGGCAGGUUGAAGGUUGGGUAACACUAACUGGAGGACCGAACCGACUAAUGUUGAAAAAUUAGCGGAUGACCUGUGGCUGGGGGUGAAAGGCCAAUCAAACCGGGAGAUAGCUGGUUCUCCCCGAAAGCUAUUUAGGUAGCGCCUCGUGAAUUCAUCUCCGGGGGUAGAGCACUGUUUCGGCUAGGGGGCCAUCCCGGCUUACCAACCCGAUGCAAACUGCGAAUACCGGAGAAUGUUAUCACGGGAGACACACGGCGGGUGCUAACGUCCGUCGUGAAGAGGGAAACAACCCAGACCGCCAGCUAAGGUCCCAAAGUCACAGUUAAGUGGGAAACGAUGUGGGAAGGCCCAGACAGCCAGGAUGUUGGCUUAGAAGCAGCCAUCAUUUAAAGAAAGCGUAAUAGCUCACUGGUCGAGUCGGCCUGCGCGGAAGAUGUAACGGGGCUAAACCAUGCACCGAAGCUGCGGCAGCGACGCUGAUGCGUUGUUGGGUAGGGGAGCGUUCUGUAAGCCUGUGAAGGUGGCCUGUGAGGGUUGCUGGAGGUAUCAGAAGUGCGAAUGCUGACAUAAGUAACGAUAAAGCGGGUGAAAAGCCCGCUCGCCGGAAGACCAAGGGUUCCUGUCCAACGUUAAUCGGGGCAGGGUGAGUCGACCCCUAAGGCGAGGCCGAAAGGCGUAGUCGAUGGGAAACGGGUUAAUAUUCCCGUACUUGGUGUUACUGCGAAGGGGGGACGGAGAAGGCUAUGUUGGCCGGGCGACGGUUGUCCCGGUUUAAGCGUGUAGGCUGGUUUUCCAGGCAAAUCCGGAAAAUCAAGGCUGAGGCGUGAUGACGAGGC